rnacentral:rRNA from 1 species
GAUGAACGCUGGCGGCGUGCCUAAUACAUGCAAGUCGAGCGAACAGACGAGGAGCUUGCUCCUCUGACGUUAGCGGCGGACGGGUGAGUAACACGUGGAUAACCUACCUAUAAGACUGGGAUAACUUCGGGAAACCGGAGCUAAUACCGGAUAAUAUAUUGAACCGCAUGGUUCAAUAGUGAAAGACGGUUUUGCUGUCACUUAUAGAUGGAUCCGCGCCGCAUUAGCUAGUUGGUAAGGUAACGGCUUACCAAGGCGACGAUGCGUAGCCGACCUGAGAGGGUGAUCGGCCACACUGGAACUGAGACACGGUCCAGACUCCUACGGGAGGCAGCAGUAGGGAAUCUUCCGCAAUGGGCGAAAGCCUGACGGAGCAACGCCGCGUGAGUGAUGAAGGUCUUCGGAUCGUAAAACUUUGUUAUUAGGGAAGAACAAAUGUGUAAGUAACUAUGCACGUCUUGACGGUACCUAAGCAGAAAGCCACGGCUAACUACGU